rfam:Triticum aestivum genome assembly, contig: Triticum_aestivum_CS42_TGACv1_scaffold_194880_3AL
CAAAUACUCCCUCCGUCCGGAAAUACUUGUCAUCAAAAUGGAUAAAAGGAAAUGUAUCUAGACGUAUUUUAGUUUAGAUACAUCUCUUUUUAUCCAUUUUGAUGACAAGUAUUUUUGGACGGAGGGAGUAGAAA